AGCAGAGCUAGCUAGCUUUGUUUCUAACAAGUGUAAGAGGAUUAAGACCAUCCUGGUCAAGAAACCAACCCUGAGGAAAAGCAGACAGAAGUCUGACAGGUUUGUGAACCUCAUAGCCAUGGCAAUAAUUUUGCAAAUGACUAAUGAUAAGGAGUCGAUAAUCCAAAGGACAAUCUCUGAAGUGGAGCACCAAGUUCCUUGAGGGAGAAAAUCAAUUAUCUCCUAUGCAGCUUUGUGGCUGCACAGCCUACAAUAUGUAAAGGCACAGAAGUUACCAUAGUCACAGAAACCUGAAUAUCAAACUUAAAAAUGCCAUGGAAUUUUACAAGAAUCACUGAAAGAAUAUCCUGCUCAUGAAUGGAUGCAUAUGGGCUUUACUGAAAGAGAUACAGUGUUAUUCUAAUAUUCUUCAUUACAAAGGCUGACAGCCGUCUAGAGAUGUCAGCAUCUAUGAAAGAGAUGCUGCACUGUGGUGAAAGCAGAACGGGGUGACUGGGUCUGGUAGGCAGUACAGAAAUCAAAUUAGCAUCAAAUACUGUGGGCUGAUUUUUAACAUCUUUUCUCUCGCUGAGUGGUGUCUUACUCUAUAACUGGGUCACAGAAAUUAAUGGAACUGCGUGCAAGUAAAACACUGCUCGAUGCACCUUAAAGCACCAGAGUAUGUGUUCAUACCCACAGUAUGUGUUCAGACAUCACCUUAAAUUUUAAUGUAUCUCAGACUUGAGGGUUUUUAAAAAUGAUUGCUAAUUUAGAAAUACAUUCCUUAUUGGGAUCAGGCCUUUUUUAUUUUUCUUACUAGAUGCACAAAUAUAUGUAGAGGAAACGUCUGAGGAUUUGGCCACUUGUUAUUAAAAACUCCAUUUCCAUGCAUGUGUAAUCCAUGUUCCCCCUAGGUUUUAAGAGCAAGGAGUUUAUUGUUGAUGAAAAGGGAGAAGUACAGCCUGAAGGCUGCUUGGGAACGCCAGACAGACAGAGGCCUCAAAGGGGAAGAUGUUCUCCUUCAGCAGCUGAGGGUGAGCAAGAAAAGGGCUGUAUGAGGUAGAAUUCAUUUACACUGCAGUAAAGUUUUGGGUGUGAGCACAUCGCUUAAAACAUAUUUAACUUUUGGAUUGAAGGGUCAUGAAAUACUCUUUUCCCUGUUGGGAGAUAAUUGGCCAAAGAACUGCAUCAAUUUUUCUUGGAAUGAAGGGUUUCCCUAAUUACAAGCACCACCUUUAUGACCACACAAGGGAAACAUCUGAAAAGGAUGAGAUCGAAAUAGUAUAAGGAAAGUUUCUUCAAGAACAGACAUCAGGAGCAAGGAUUCUUCUCAGUUUUGAUGCACCACUGACGUUUUCCAAAAAUGGAUAUAACGGUGUCACCUCUGAGAUGUUAGAAAAAGCUGAAAUUACUUGGACUCCAGCCAUGGAAAGAGAGCAACCCAUUGAGGGACAUGGAUAAGGACCUCCUGGCAUUAUGAAAUGAUGUGAGAGAAGGGACGGACACUUCUCUUGGGGUAUAAGAGAGAGGGUGAACAUGAGAACUGCUGUGUAAGUAGGGCUAUAGUUACUCUUUUGGAGCAGCAUUGAGUUAUGUGCACUUGCUUAUUAUAUGAUGCAUUCCAAUGUUAAAAAUAUGUCCAUGGAAUUAAAAAUAAACACUAAGGUUUAGAGAUUACACAUUAUAAGCCAUGCAUGUGGGAAUUCUCUUGGUUUUGCUCAUUAUUAAUAAAAAUUGCCAUUCUUGAGGAACACACUGAUCUAUCUAAUGAAAUGAGCAAAACAGCUGUCUCAGGAGGUGCUAUGAAACACUGAAAUACAUAAAUUCUUGGAAGGUAUGUGUUGCAUACAAAGGCCCUAGAAAAGUUAGUCCUAAUACCUAUUUUGUACAAGUUGGCCAACACUGCAACUUGAAAGUCAUCACUGCUUAUAUUUACUCUUACUGUCAAUCCGAAAGUCCAGUCUGAGGCAUGCACCAUUUUUAGUCUUAUACAAGACAGCUCACAUCAAGAAUUCAGUUCACUAGGUCUUGACAGGUGCUUUUAUUUAUUUUUACUGAAUAGCACAAGGAGUUUAUAUAUAUAUUUAAAGAUAACACAGGAGUUAGUUGCCUUAGUAACAGGAUAUCUCAUCCACUGUGUUUAGUAUUUACUCAGCACUGGAAAUUUAUACUGUAAUGAGAAGAAAUGUGGUAUUUUUACUAGUCUACCCACUAUUUAUGCCCAUCAGCAGCAAAUGUACGUGGUGUAGCCAGACUUUCCGUUUGUAAGCUAUGUGAAACCUCUGAGAAGACAGCAUGCAGAAAUGAAACCAGGGCACCAGGUGUAAUGUACUUCUGUUGCGAGUAUUUUGAGAGGAAAAAAUUGUUCCGAGAGUUUAAAGCGCUUCACUAAAGAUAUUCCUUGUCUCAUAAUUCUAACCCCAUCAGCAAAAGCAUUCAUUUCCCAUGGUCUCAUACCCUGAUGAAAAAAAUCUACAGAAAAUGGUUAUGAAAGAGGAUAUUUCUAUGAUGCCAGUUUCCACAAAUGUCAUAAAGUGCAAUACAAAUUUUAAAUACUGUUAAAUGCUAUGUUUUACCUGACAUCUAUGGGGGGAGAGGAAGUAAGGGAACAGCUGAAGGGCUGUUUCAAAGCCUUCUUCAGCCUUCUUCUGGGAGAAGCAAGGCAUUAAAGCUGCAUCAAUUAAAAUGCAGGAGAAAUUUGAAUUAAGCAGAAAACAUCCAUUUAAUUUUAAUAUAGCCAGAAUGCCAAAAGGUUUAUAUCCAUUCUUCUGCAAAAAUGCCAUAAGACUUUUCAUGCUCCCAGCAAAGCUUCAGAGACUAAGCAGGACCUACUGCCUGCAGUUGCUCCAUGCCACCUGCAGGGCUGUGGGGCCAGAAGAGGGCUUUUUUUUUUCUGGGAAAUGACGUCUAUUGAAGCAGUGAACCUCGCUCAUAAAUCUAAACUCCACUCCCUCUGCCUCCGAUGGAUUUUAGACCAAAUCCUAGGGACAGAAUCUGCCCAUUCCCACCUGUCCAACGAAAAGAUGGGGUGGUGAGGGAGCCACCCAAUGGGGCUGGCAGCUCCAGGCACCAGGGCUGAGGCUGGACAGACACGAGUAGCACCAGCUCACUUGGCACCCCACUUCUGGUAAUGGUCUGGGUCCUGCUUCUUGCUCACAGGACUACUACGCCACUGAAAAUUCCAUUCCCAGGCUGCUCUCUCACUAUAAUUUCAGAUAAUGUAAAAUGCUUCUAUAUUAAUAUCAAUUUAAUAUCUAAUACAGCCUCAUUCAUGGUACUAUAGCAGACCCCUACAGGAUGAUGGACUGCAGCCUAAUGCAGCUUUUCCUCCUCUAACAACUGCGAACUUCUAUCCAUUUUACCGUUCACAUAGAAGAGUGCCUGUUCAGACAGAAAAGCAGAAUGUUAUAGACACAUAGAAUAACUUAAAUGUAAAGGCAGAUUGAGACAAUUUAUUCUGUAUUAAUAAAAGAAGAGUUGGAAAACAGAUGUAGAAAGGCACGGUGGUGGUUAAAGUACUACCCAACAAGUACAGUCUUUCUCCUUCACUGUGAACAACUUUCUUCCUGACCCUGACUUCUAGAAUUUUGUCUAGCUCUAAAUACUGUUGCAUAGAUGGGUAUAGAUUAUAUAUGUUGUUUAAAAAUGGCAUAGAAAUGCUAAGCUGGUUUUCCUCACAGACUCUCCAUGAAUUAUCUCACUGAGAUUAUCAUAGGCUGUAAACAAAACUGCAUUUUUCUCAGGACAGCUUUUUACAGGAAGGGCUCUGCUCCUAUCUGUUGAUCACAAAUUUCAGCUAAAAUCUAUCUUACAAAAAAGUGAUAGAGCUCUUCUGAGAACUGGGGAAAAGUCUUAAGCUAGUGAAGCUUUUGCCUAAUGAACAUUUCAGGAAAAAGUAGAUGUGCUUUGCUUGUCUCGAUGAACUAAACUUUACUAUGUAAACCAGUCACACAGAAGAAGGCUAAUCCAUAACAUCCAUACUCACACACAGAAGUCAGAAGGAAGAAAUGGAAUGGCAAUGAAUUACCAGCCUCCAGUGACUGCAGCGAGCCGUCAUCAGUGUGUAGACCAACAGAAAUUCAAAUCGAGAGGAGGGAGAGAGACCAGUGAAAAUCCUAUUCUGCUUGCAGACUUCUUUUCCUGAACUGCUUCUGGGUUAUGCUAUGACUGCAACUGUAUUCAUGAGGAGGAAAUAAAAAUUUCAUUGUUAACCUCAAAAUGAUUUCACAAGGGUUCAGCGAAAUGGAGAUGUUAAGGGAAUUAAACAAACCCCGUUGAAAAAUGGGACACCAUUUUCAUGACUUAUGCCUUUACAAGAAUUUGGAUAACGACUGCAAAAGGUUAAUAUGCUUUAUAUGAAUCUGCAGGUUACCCCUAAAUAUAAAAAGCAAUCCUGCAUAGCAGGGACAUCUGCUGGAAGCCUGACGCCAUUGUCUCACUCCUGCUUUUGGCUACGAAUCUCCGAGCAGCCCUGCAGCAACACGCAGUGCCGCCAGCUGGAGAGCCGGUUUCUGACUAAUUAAGGAUUCCCUGCACACCUUCACAACAGCCAGGCAGUGGGAGCAAGAAAUCUUUAAGCUAUACUCGGGAAUUUAAAUGGAAACUUUUGCAUCUCAAUUGAAGGUUAGACUUUUCUUCCAACCGCCUGACAUUGAACUGUCUGUCACAGAGGAAGAUUGGACACUGAUGAAAAUCCUUCCCUUCCCCAACUAGAUACAGCCAGAGAAGGUCAAUGUUUUAAUUAUGUAGAGGAGACAGUACUCUGCAUUUCUGUAAUUUUGGAGAUACGAUGGCACCAAGGCUAAGAAGCCACCUUUAUCGAAUUUAAAGUCCAAACGUGAGAUUUCAGACUAUAGCAUUUAAGUAAAUCGUCUCUUUUCUCAAGGAGACAUUGACCACACCCUCCACCUGGGAUGCGGCUUCCAAUCUCUCUCAUGCUUUCCUCCUGCACGGUGGGAACACUGUUUGAUCAAACAGUGUUGCUGGGAGCAAACUCUGUUUUGACCACAGUCUGGUAGUCUGUGUUUUGAUUUCGGACAAUGUUUUGGAAAUGACUGCGGUGGUGCAGAAAGCACUCACUGAGUCUACCCCAGGAAGAGGAAGCCCCGUUCUGUGCAAUGGCAGGAAAGAGGAUGCUUUGCAAACUCAGUUCCCUUUUCUCAAAGUGCAGGAAUACAGCUGAUGCAAAGCAUUCUAGAAAUGAAAACAAGCUUUAUUUGAUUCAACAGAUGCUUGAACUGUGUUUAACACAUCAUAGGUCUAUGUUUUCAUGAGUACUCCCCAGUGUAACAGUUUCUUCCUGCAGGUACUAGUUCAUAUCUGAUGGGAGAUUGCUUUAAAACCAGCCUCUGCUCUUACACUGUAAGAACAGUUCUCUCCCUCAAGCUAUUUGUAGACAUAAACAUGUUUACCUUCACCUGUUAAAGCACCAGGAGAAAACAUUAUCCCCUUGAAGGAAAUUAAUCCUCCAAAACCUUUUGAAAUGUUUUAAAAAGCUUACUACCAGAGUGAAUACAUGCAUUAAAAAUAAAAUAAAAAAAAAAAAAAACAAAAUAAGCCUAACUAGGCUCUUGGCCCAGACACCCAGAGACAGGUCACACCCCUACCUUCAGCUUGCAUCAGUGGCAGGUAAUGUUGAUAGCCUGGUAUGCUGUCCCCAAGGGUUUAUCAGCGCUGCACAGCCAGCAAAAACAGCCAAGUCAGCAAAGAUAUUAGAAAGUGUUCAGUGACAGUUGUGCAAGUCACCAGAGGCCCUGAUCUACUAGACUUGAGGUGUAUGGGUCUGAGCUUGCAUUGCCUACCUUUGGGUGAGUACUAAACACUGCAGUAUGGGCCUUGCCUGCCAUUACAGGGAUGUGGCUAAAACACAUCAUUUCAGGAAAAAAAGAUCUGCUCCUAACCAUGCUUGUGUUCACUAGGCAGUCAGAGGGGCAGGAACUACCCACAGUCUUCCCUUCCCAACUAAAUAAGUCUCUUCCUCCGGACCAAUAAAAAAAAAAAAAAAAAAAAAAAAAAAAAGAAAAUUGCUUUGUGCAAAGUCAAACUUUUCUCAAGAAACCCUGAAUGCAGCGUGCCUUGAGGUAAGGGAAGAAAAUGAGAGCUGUGUGAGGGUAAGUAAAAAAAGCGGCUUUAACACCACUGACCCUAAGAACUCCAUCCAGAAGACACUCUAAUAUGCUCCAGAAAAAAAUGCAAGCUCACUAGGAUUAUUUCUGCCUAUUCUGUAAAUGUAAGAGGAGUAUCUUUCUGUGGGUCAUAGAUUAGCAGUCAGCAGACCUUGAUAUGUCAUGGAGAUGUACAGGAUUACAAAUAGGCACUUCUGGACUUCUUUUGAGUUCAGGUGCUGAAAAGUUGCCUACAAAGGAUCACAGAGAAAAUUGGGUGGAUACAGGCUUCAAUGAGACAAAAGUCAAAAACAGACACAAGGAGAGAGGUGUCACCUGAAGUGUGAUGUGCACUUGCUGCAGUGAGCAGCGAUGCUGUCCUUGGUUUGACUCCCAAGCAGGUGUCCUGUGCUGUGUAAUUCUGUAGGGAGCAGUCAGGCUUCCUGGGAGACAGAGCCAGGCGGGGAGGCCUUGGCUGAUCCGCUGUGUUUAUGAGGCAGCUUUAUUUUGAGGAGAUGGAACAGAAGCAGUAAAGGAGAGGGCGUGUGAAUUCUCUCCUUCAGCAUGCACCUCACUGAGUGACCCUGAUGCCUCUCAGAGUUUUAACCUCAGGUGUAAAAACAGAGCCUGGCCCGUGCUUCAGAAAGGAUGAAAUCUGUCACAGUGUUUUUAAAGCAUCCCUGCAUGUCAGUCUUCAGAAGUGAGAGAUUUCAGUGGGGUCCGUAUGUACUAAAGCAUCUUGGUGACUAUCAAAUACAAACAUUUCAGCAAACCCCCGCUUUUGCUAUUUUACUAUAUGUAAAAAAUAAAAUAAAAUAAAAUAGAA